AAAGGAGAAUGGCAGAAUUCGUACAGCAUACUUUUUUUGGUGUUCCCUGACAAAAUUUGUACCACUUAUUGAGGCAACUAAACCAUUCAUUUUUCUGUAAAAAUAAUAUUUUUAGAAGCUGGGGUUUAGCAAAUAUAUCAAUUAAAAGAUUUUAGUAACGAAACGUAAUAUAAUGAAACGAAACGUAAAAGACAUGUUUAGUUAGUUGCCAUUAAUAAAAUAUCAGAAGGCUCGAAAUGAUAAAUAAAUAUUUUGAAAUAGAAAUAAUAGUAAAUAUAAUUAACCAAUUACAGGUUAUACCUUAGAAUAUAUAAUUAAUGCAUAUAUAUGCGUAGAAUCUUUAUAUUUAUAGGAAUAAUUUUUGCCAUCAAUAUUUUUUUUGUAAUGGCAAUCAUUUAUUGACAGGUUUGUAAAAUCUCUAAUCUUUCAAAGUCGUCCUGUUUUUUGCCGUUGUUUUGUUUUGGAUUGUAGUUUGUAACUUCAUCUCAACAAUCUAGCAAUUAUCUGGCCAUUUUUACGUUGAGUUGAGCAACUGCUUCUCCGUUCUCUAUCUGUUGAUACUACUUUCGCGAAAGGACGCUUUAUUAAUUGUGUUGUGUGUACGUGUUUUAUUGAAAAUUACGAGUUUGCAAUGCAUCAAUUGCUAUGUUCGCUUGUCCCGAAGAAGAAGACACGCUUUAUCCAAUGACGGUGAAGAUAUCGUCAACACUAUUCGUCUGUGGACAUAUCUUAGAGAUGUAAGUAGUUUCCACAUAACAUUGUGUGUACGAAUGGGCCAUAGUUACGAACUUCAAUAACUUUUACGUGUGAUAUCACACUAAAUAAACACAUAAGUAAUCGGUAACAUGUAUUAUUUACUUGCCUUACUUGGUUUGCAUAACACUGUUAUAAUUUAUUAGUACCUAUUAUUUUGUUUAAUGGUGAGCCAUACUCAAAAUCAUUUAAUUAUUUCUAGAUUACACCAGAUGACCAUGUUUACCAUGAAUGCUGGCAGCUAGCUAGUCAUUCAUGUUCUUCUGAUAAUAUGCCGAGAAGACACAUAGGACAUCAGUGUUUGUGUUGUAUGUGGACAAUCCAUACUAAGAAUCAGGCAAUGCAGAAUUUUGAUUGAAGAAGAACAAAGAACGGCUUACACAAUGGCUACUUGGAUCUAACCACAACAGCUUCAUCCUGAAGAUAAAGCUUAUGUGCGGUGUUGGUUAAGAGUGAGAACUAAGGAUACUUCACUAAAUGAAGAUAUUCAAUCCGUUGAACCUAAUCAGCAGGAAAGUGAUAAUUCUGAACUGAUGUGUGCUGCAUGUGGUCAAAGUCUUACUCCCAACAACACUGCUUGUUUGUUGGAGCACCAGCAGACACCUUCGAUGAAUGAAGUUUGUGAAGUUUGCUGGGGCCAAGUAUGCAAUUUGAGCUUCUAUGUUCCAGAUGGUCUAUGUUGCUUCAAGCUAAAAUAAAGCCCUGCCACUCUUCUCCUAGAACUUAUUUUGUUUUCAUAGUUGCAGAAACAAAUAUGAAUAGCCGGGACACAAUCAAAAGUGAUUGCUGUAAUUAUUAUUGUAUUGUAGGUUUAAGAACAGUGGGAUGCUGCUCACAUAUUAUGAGCAUUCUUUGGUAUUUGAGUUAUGCUUGCUAUGAGGGUAUGACCCGACCUGCCCCUUUCUUGGAUGAAGUAAUAUUAAGAAACAAUCAAGUAAUUAUAAGAAAAUAAAGUAAAUGUAUUCCUACAAAAACUAAGUUGCUUUAUUUACCUACACUCAAAACUUCAUCAGCACUUAAUCAUUAUCAAACUAUUGUAGACAU